GGCUUGCUUCCGAGAGACCGGCGCACGGGUGCGUAACGCGUAUGCAAUCUGCCUUUUACAGGGGAAUAGCCCAGAGAAAUUUGGAUUAAUGCCCCAUAGCGCUGCAGGGCGGCAUCGCCCAGCAGCUAAAGUCACAACGGUAAAAGAUGAGCAUGCGUCCCAUUAGCUAGUUGGUAAGGUAACGGCUUACCAAGGCGAUGAUGGGUAGGGGUCCUGAGAGGGAGAUCCCCCACACUGGUACUGAGACACGGACCAGACUCCUACGGGAGGCAGCAGUGAGGAAUAUUGGUCAAUGGGCGCAAGCCUGAACCAGCCAUGCCGCGUGCAGGACGACGCAUCUAUGGUGUGUAAACUGCUUUUAUACAGGAAGAAACAACCCUACGUGUAGGGUCUUGACGGUACUGUAGGAAUAAGGAUCGGCUAACUCCGUGCCAGCAGCCGCGGU
rnacentral:rRNA from 1 species